rnacentral:rRNA from 1 species
CAAUAGCGUAUAUUUAAGUCGCUGCAGUUAAAAAGCUCGUAGUUGGAUUUCGGGUGGGAAUGGCCGGUCCGCCGUUUCGGUGUGCACUUGCUACGCCCACCUUGCUGCCGGGGACGUGCUCUUGAGUUCACGCUCGGGACACGGAGUCGGCGAGGUUACUUUGAGUAAAUUAGAGUGUUCAAAGCAGGCCUACGCUCUGAAUACAUUAGCAUGGAAUAACACGAUAGGACUCUGGCCUAUCUUGUUGGUCUGUGGGACCGGAGUAAUGAUUAAGAGGGACAGUCGGGGGCAUUCGUAUUUCAUUGUCAGAGGUGAAAUUCUUGGAUUUAUGAAAGACGAACUACUGCGAAAGCAUUUGCCAAGGAUGUUUUCAUUAA